CACCUGAUCCCAUCCCGAACUCAGAAG
rnacentral:rRNA from 1 species